CAGGUACAUCAGUAACUAACAUGGCGGAUGAGGUCUAACUUGGAAUCGCUGAGCUCUAGACGUGUUUAGCGCAACUAGAGCUAGCUGUGCUAUAUAUGCUCCCAAAUGGUGACUCUCGUAGGCAGCAAAAAGUGGAUUUUACGCCUCUUCUGUUUCUUGCAGCUUUUCAAGAAAUUUAAAUUUCUUGCUAUCAUCUGUCGUAAAGACUUCACCAUGUCCAGAGGAGAGAAGAAAAAUUAAAUCGAAUGAGAAUGGGGAUGGCCUUCACAAAUUUAUGAUGGCCUCUUGUUUUACAAGAAUUUUCUCUGAUGAUAGAGUCAACUUCCGACUUGGGCCGCACAAAUUAUACCUUUUCAAAAAUGAAUGUCGGAUUAUGCAGAUAAGUCAAGUUUUUCUAUGUUUCUUAAGAAUAACAGGUUUUACCAUUAUUACGUGGAAUUAUCUCAUUAUGCAUUUUUUGACCUAACAUACCUCGGACUAUAACCUUCAUUUUUGUUUUGAAUUGCAGAUUUGAAAAAGCUUUUCUGAAAUUGUCCUCAAAUAGCAGUGCUGAAGAGGAUACAGACAAGCAGGUUAAUGAAGAAAUAAAGAAAGGAACAAAGAAAAUGGUUAAAGCUUCACAAACGAUGGUCAAAGACUCCAAUGAAGAAAGCGCUCGAAAGAAUAUUAUAGCAUGGAAGGAAAUUUUACGGACAUGUGCAGGCAUGAAAACAAAGAGAGAAAGGCCCAACACUGUCUGACAACCCUUGCUGAUAUUAUUCUAGCUGUUAAGCAGAAUAUGACGGAAAAAAAGAAAUACCUCCAAAUCCAAAGUUGUUGAUCUGUCAGCUGAAAAUAUUGUAAAAUUUGAACUGGAAAAAAUCAAGUUUUGUACAAGUGACUUAGUUGUUUACAUUUUUCCGAAACGUAUGAAGAAAAUACGUUUCCAAAACGUAUUUUUCCGUAGGAAGUCACUAACGUUGGACAGCAACGAGCGUGGUGAUCACAUCCAGUUCUUUUAGAAACGAAAAAUUUAUCCACACUCAUAAAUUCAUUCUACUUCUUGGAAAAUAAACUUUUGACUUUUUUACAAACUCAACUACAAAAUUUACAGUUCAAAUUUUAAAAAAUAACGAAAGAUAUAAAACAGCACUAUUCGUUUAAUUAAAUAACUGAUUGUUAAAAAUUUAUUUUUAUGUUAGAAUUCACUUUUACAAGUAGUAACAAUUUAUACCUGAAAAUAUUAUUUUAUUUGUGUCCCAACGUAAUUUUUUGUUUUAAAUCCAUAAUUUGGCCUUUUAGGCAAAACAACGUGUGCCCAGACCUGAUUUAAGCUUUUUUUUUUUUUUUUUUUUUUUUUUUUUUUUUGUUGGGUCUAUAGCAUUUUCAUCAAAUUUUUCAUCCUUCGAAAAUUUCGAUAAUCGUAUUUUACAGUGAAUGUAAAGAAGUCUAAAACUUUAUCUCAAUUGGUACUUUUAUCUCAUUGCGAGAAACAUACAUACAUUUAUGGAGAUUCUUCAUUAUUUAAUUUCUUUGAAUAUAACACAGGGAGAUAAUAUUUGGUGGCAACAAUUUAAAAAGUUAACGAAUUCAAAAUGCC